CAGAACACCUGUAGAACACCUGCAGAACACCUGUAGAACACCUGUAGAACACCUGUAGAACACCAGCAGAGCCCGGUAUCAUGAGUGGGAAGUCCUGAAAGUCCUGAAGGUCGUGGAGGUCAGGGGUCAAAGGGACGAGCCAUGAGAACCGGAACUGUCACUACGCAUGUGGACCGGUGACGGAAAUGAUGGAUCAGCUGCCGUUUACCAGUCCUGCUCAGUCUGAGAAGACAUCAGGUACCCCAGAGCUAACAGCUAGCGAGAAGACAUCAGGUACCACAGAGCUAACAGCUAGCGAGAAGACAUCAGGUACCACAGAGCUAACAGCUAGCGAGAAGACAUCAGGUACCACAGAG